rnacentral:lncRNA from 1 species
AGAAUAAAACCAAUAUAUACAAAAAUAAAUAAAUAAAUAGGAGGAUAUGGAUAAACAUACAACUUUAUAGUGCAAUGCAAUCUCAUUAGCAUUGGCUCUCCAUAACUUCCCAAACAAAGCUCAAAAAAUACAAACCAAAAUCUCUCAACCUCACUACACAGACACUAAAAAAAAUACCAAGAAAUCGAGAGAAUUUAGAGUCAUCUCCCCCCUCUCUUCUCAAGCUGCCAGUGAUCCUUUUAUCCCAAAUUCGGUUCUGCCAACUUUUUGCCCAUGCCCAUAUCCUGCUUCAACCACCCCAAUUGCUCUCAUUUUGCUCUUCUGCUCUCAACACAAUGCUAAAACAUAAAGAAAUACAAGAAAUGUCACAGCCCAUUGAAAAUAUUUUAAUCAAGCCCAAAUCACAUAAGUUAGAAACCUAAAUCAAUAACUAUGCAAGCCCAACAUCUCAAAUAAAAAAAUCAAGUCCAAUUAAGAAAACAAGCCCAACUUAAAAAUGCAAUCUAAAUACCAACAAAACCAGAACCCAAAUAAUAUUGAAAGUAGGUCUGAACCUGAAUUCAACCCCAAAACAGUUACUAUGUAAACCAAGAUGAAAAUUUUCUUUUUACCAUUAAUCCCACCUUGAAACCAAACAACGAUGGUAGAAAGGAUGACAAUAGAGUUGAGCGGCAUGACGACCAUGAGUCACUCGGCUGGAAGCAGAAAUGGAUGAACGCUCUUUUGCGUCAACCAUGGAUACAAUUUUUCAUAUUAGAAAAUCUGAGAGAAUGAAAGCGAAAAGAUGUAGGGAAAAUAGAGAGAGAGAGAGAAGUGUGGUUGGAAGAGAUUGUCGAUUGGCAGUGGCGCCGCCGAUAGUGGUGCCGCUGGUUGUGGUGUCGCUAGCAGUGAGAGGGGUAGUGUCGUGGGUAUGAAAAUGGGAAGGAAGGGAAAAGAAAAUGUAAAGAAAAAAAGAAAAUAGAAGAAAAAUGAAAGAGAAGACUGAGAGGCGGGUAUGAGAAAAAUCGGAUAUAAAUGAGAAGGUUAAAGUUUUGUUUUGAAAUGAAUGAUGGGGAUUUGAUGAAAAAAGAAUAAGAAAGACUCAGAUUAAAUCUCUAACAAAAAUUGGAUUUAAAAGUUAAAAGAAAUAAACCUAAUAAUCA